CUCCUACGGGAGGCAGCAGUAGGGAAUCUUCCGCAAUGGGCGCAAGCCUGACGGAGCAACGCCGCGUGAGUGAGGAAGGCCUUCGGGUUGUAAAACUCAGUCACCUGGGAAGAGAGGUUUGGGGAGUGGAAUGCCCCAUACGAGACGGUACCAGGGGAGGAAGCCCCGGCUAACUACGUGCCAGCAGCCGCGGUAAUACGUAGGGGGCAAGCGUUGUCCGGAAUCACUGGGCGUAAAGCGUGCGUAGGCGGUCUUUCAAGUCCGGGAUGAAAACUCAAGGCUCAACCUUGAGAAUGCCUUGGAAACUGGGGGACUUGAGUACUGGAGAGGCAAGGGGAAUUCCACGUGUAGCGGUGAAAUGCGUAGAGAUGUGGGGGAAUACCAGUGGCGAAGGCGCCUUGCUGGACAGUGACUGACGCUGAGGCACGAAAGCGUGGGGAGCAAACAGGAUUAGAUACCCUGGUAGUCCACGCUGUAAACGAUGAGUGCUAGGUGUUGGGGGUUCAUCCCCUCAGUGCCGAAGGAAACCCAAUAAGCACUCCGCCUGGGGAGUACGGUCGCAAGACUGAAACUCAAAGGAAUUGACGGGGGCCCGCACAAGCAGUGGAGCAUGUGGUUUAAUUCGAAGCAACGCGAAGAACCUUACCAGGGCUUGACAUCCCUCUGACCGGUUCAGAGAUGGGCCUUCCCUUCGGGGCAGAGGAGACAGGUGGUGCAUGGUUGUCGUCAGCUCGUGUCGUGAGAUGUUGGGUUAAGUCCCGCAACGAGCGCAACCCUUGACCUGUGUUACCAGCACGUAAUGGUGGGGACUCACAGGUGACUGCCGGCGUAAGUCGGAGGAAGGUGGGGAUGACGUCAAAUCAUCAUGCCCUUUAUGUCCUGGGCUACACACGUGCUACAAUGGGCGGUACAACGGGAAGCGAGACCGCGAGGUGGAGCGAAACCCAAAAAGCCGUUCGUAGUUCGGAUUGCAGGCUGCAACCCGCCUGCAUGAAGCCGGAAUUGCUAGUAAUCGCGGAUCAGCAUGUCGCGGUGAAUCCGUUCCCGGGCCUUGCACACACCGCCCGU
rnacentral:rRNA from 1 species